GAUUCAGCAUGUCUUUACUCCUCCUCUGCUCCAUUUUGCUUUUUCCUAUGGCUGCUGUGGAUCUCUGAAUGUUAACACUACAUGGAAACACUACUUCCUGUGAUUUGUAUAGGCUAAUAGUGGUUCAGCACCAAAUGUUGGAUGUCUUCAUAAUAUGGAAACAAGUCCAGACUGAAAAACUACAGCAGAGAAGAGACCUUCUAUGACUAUCUGGUGUGGUGAUGUUUAGUAAGAUUUAAGGUACAGGUCCUCCUCUGCUGACUGGCUGGAUGGUACUGGGAGAGCAGCCACUGUGGUCCCCAAAGGCAAAAAAAUGAGCCAGCAAAGGGAAUUGAGAGGAGAAAGAAGCAUCAGCUCUUCUUCCCAGAAGGCCACUAAGGAAUUUGAUUUGUCACAGGAUGAAAAGGACUUUGUGGACUGCUGAAGUUAUUUUCCCUUCAGCCCCAAGUUGUGAUUUUCACCCUAUCCCUGUCUUCCUGUUUUCAACUUGUCUCCUACUCUGUCCUUGAACAACAAAGCAGAGCUCCUUGCCUCAGACCCACAGCAAAGAUGCAGUGCAGCUUGAAGAACAGGUUGGAGCUCAGUCCAAGGAGAGGUUUUUAUCUGCAUGAAAAAAUGUGGGUGCAUUUCCCACUCAUCUUGAUGCUAGUGUCUCUUUUUUAGGAUCUGUAGGAUCUAAUCUAUUGAUUCGAGUAAAUUUAUGCCUAUUAGUGAUUUGGGGGUUGUUGUUUUUUGUUGUUUUUUGUUGUUGUUGUUGUUUUAACUUUUUUAUCUUCCUCUGUGCUUCUUCAGCAUACUUUAUGAUGCUUAAGCCAUAACCAGUUUUUAAAUGGGCUAAUAAUCUAAGACAUAAUAUAGUCACAGGAAAAUGCUAUUAUUAUAAUUUCUUUUUUGACUGCCUCCAGAAUGGGACUUCUUCAGUCAUAUAUGCAUUUUAAGAUAUAUGCCAAAUCCUUAUUUUCCUUUUUCUCUUCCAAUUCUCAAAUGCAGUUUUCUGCUGAUGGUUUAAAUCUUUACUAUUUUACAUCUUACCUCCCUGUACCUCUUCUCUACAUACACUUGAUAUUAAAAUCUAUAUGCCAAGAAUACCACUCUCGUAAAAAUGUUGCAAUUAACUUUCAUUCUAAACUGCACUAGAAAAAGUAUAUGACAAGCCUAAACUGAUUUCACCUUAGGAAACUCCCCAAAAUCAACUGUUUUAUGGAAGGUGAGAUCUGUGUAUUCUACAGCUGUUUGUACCAAAGUGACUCCGUAUCAACUAACGUUCUAGUCCAGGACUUCUUAGAGCAGUUUUUGUAGCUAAAGCUCAACUUAAAUCACUCAGAGAGGAUGAUAAGAG